UACAGAGGGGGCAAGCGUUGUUCGGAAUUACUGGGCGUAAAGGGUGCGUAGGUGGCGCCGUAAGUCGGGUGUGAAAUUUCGGAGCUUAACUCCGAAACUGCAUUCGAUACUGCGGUGCUUGAGGACUGGAGAGGAGACUGGAAUUCAUGGUGUAGCAGUGAAAUGCGUAGAGAUCAUGAGGAAGACCAGUGGCGAAGGCGGGGCUCUGGACAGUUCCUGACACUGAGGCACGAAGGCCAGGGGAGCAAACGGG
rnacentral:rRNA from 1 species